CCAAAUUAAGAAGACAUAUUAUGAAAAAGCAAUUGGUUGAUUCAAGAUACAGAGAUCUGAUUUUGUCUGCUGAAUCUUUUUUUGUUCAGGCUGAUGGGUUCCCAACAAUCCUGUUCUUCCCUGGUGGAAACAAGAGCUUCGAUCCGGUAAGCAAAGCUUGUUCACUAUAUCAAACAGUGUUUCCAAAACCUGCAAAUGUUUUUUUUUCUUAUGUUACUUUUGAGUACUGAAGUUGUUAAAAUUGUUGCUCAUUAAAAAAAAAAAAAAAAAAAAAAAAAAAAAAAAAAAAAAAAAAAACAGAUCACUGUGGAUGUAGACCGAACAGUAGUGGAACUGUACAAAUUCCUGAAGAAGCAUGCAUCAAUCCCAUUUAAACUUGAGAAACCAGCGACGCCUGAUGCCGUGAGCUCGACCAAGAAAGCUGAUGAGAAGAUUGAA
rnacentral:lncRNA from 1 species